GGAUUAUGUACUCUUCUGUUGAUUCAAUGCUAAACAUAUUGAAAUUUUAUAGAAAAUCCACAGCCUUUAUCCUUGUACUAUCAUAUUUGGCAGUUUGAUGACUGAUAGAUAUAGGAUUAUUGCAUGCAGUGCUAGCAUUGGUUUCAUUAAAACAAGUUUAUUAAUGUAGUUAUCGGUUAAAACAAAUAAAAAUAUAGACCAAAUCAAGUACACCAUUUAGGGUGCGCUCGACUUUA
rnacentral:lncRNA from 1 species